UCGUUCUGCAGCCGGGCAAACUGUGCCUCAAAACGACAAAGAACUUCCGCGGAGCGGAAAAGCCGCCUAGGCUAUACCCAAAGGCCCACCAGACUACAGAAUCGAGGAAGACCAAAGCCCGUCAUGGGUUAAAACCAUAAAGUUGGGGAGCACCCCCCCCCCAAGCCUAGAGAGACCCUGCCCCUCUAACCUAGCUCCCCUCUACUCCCAAUUUCCGGACAGGGACAGACUUCCGGUUCCGGCGAUGGGCUACAAAUCUCUGCUCUCGGGCGGUGGUCUCUCUUUCUCGGAGCUGGUUGUGGGAUCUGCCUGUGUUGGUGAGCUGCCCCUGUCCCGUUCCUCCGCCCCCUGAAGUGGUGGAUGCGCAGGAGCCUGAGUCAUCCUUUUCUAGAGUUCCAGAAUGGAGACUGAAGGAGACCCAGACACACAAAGAAAUAGAGAAGUCCAGAAUGCUGAAAUGAUGUCACCAUCAGAUGAGAUGGUGGCUAAGGAGCCAGAAGAUGUCCUUCCUGCAGCUCCCCAGGCCCAGCUUCCGCAGGAGCCUUCUGGGCAUCCACCAGAGAGCCUUGAUGAAGGUCGUGUCGAAGAUGUUGAGACCCCGCCAAGAGCAAGUCCUCUCAACCCUGCAGUCUUCAGGCAGAUGUUCAGAAGGUUCCGCUACGAGGAUGCACGCGGGCCCAGGGAUGUCCUCAGACAUCUCCUGGUGCUUGCGAGGCUGUGGCUGAGACCUGAUAUUCACACAAAGGAGCAGAUUGUGGAGAUGCUGGUGCAGGAGCAGUUUCAGGCCGUCCUCCCUGAAGAGCUCAAAGCUCAGGUGCAGAAAUGUCAGCCUGGGGCCAGAUUCACUGGCUAAGUUUCGCUGCUGACUUCUCACUCAGCCUACAAAUGAGGCUGGUUUGGUUAAAGGUUCUCUUUGUUGCAAAUUCCUACUACAGUCAUGGGAAAUUUGAACCUCCGUUUUUUGUUUGAGUUUGCCUUUGACUAGUUGUAAUAAGAAUCAAAACCCAUGUCUGGACCUCUUUUUGCCUGAGGCCGUUCUAUUUCCUGGGACUCUGAACUCCAGAAGGAGUUUCUCUGCCCUCUUGUUAGGACAAUCAGCCUGCUGCUUGUUUUUGUUCCGCUGAAUGUCUCCUUUUUUGCACUUUGUGACAUCCUUUAAUAUAUUGUUUAUAUGUAUCCAAAGAAGUCAUUGCUUUAACUUUCAGAAUUCUUGAUUCUUGCUGUUGUGGCAUAUGAGUGGGAGCUUCUGUAACCCCACCGGUAACUCAUUUGGGAUGUCCUUGAAAUAUUAAAAGUUUGGUUCUUAAUAAAAA